UUACAUUUGUAAAACUUUUCCUCCAAAAGACCAAAGCUUCGUCGACAGAAAGGCCAAUAUCCUGAAAAAUUAGUAAAUUACUACAUAAAAAAUAAGUUUCAUACUUUUAAAAAUAGCCCAUAUUGAAGACGGCCAAAAUGCCGUAGAUGCUUAUCACGCUUAAGUACUUCAUGUAAAUGUUUGGCGCAUAAUGGAAAAUGUGAAACAAAACUGUCUACUUGUCCAGCAGUAAUAGCACCAGAUUUAGGAGCAACUAUUGAACUCUCGGGAGCAACGAAUCCUUUACUCAAAUGGUUGAGAAUUGGCAAAAGACGAUCGUCUUCAUCAAGCCUAGGAAGAGAUUUUGCGGUAGACUCAAGCGCUUUUUUUAAGUUUUCUUCAAACUCUUCAACAACUAGACUUACUUGUUCCGAAAAUGGUACGUAAGCGUAUCCCUUGUGAACGAAAACAGCCCUUCGUUCUACUAAAUCCGGAACUUUAAAAAAAGGUACUUUGAAGAAAGAUUCGUUUUCUAUAUUUCUUUGAGAAGAAGCCUGUAGCUUUUCAUAAAAAACGUCUUUUUCUUCUUGUGAAACAGAUUCCCAUUGAAAAUCAAGACUAUCUAUAAACGCUUGACGUUCUCGGGUUUCCUCAUUCACAAAUCGAAACCGAAAUAACGUGGAUUCAGCUCUUAAAAACCUGAUUCGUAAUUCAUCACUAAUGAAUGCGUUAGGAAAAGAAUAAAAGCAAGUUUAAAUGUAUUCAUAUAUAUAAUGCUUUCUGUUUAACUGAAGCAGCAAAUUGAUACCCACUUUAUGUUCAAUUUACUACUUAUGCCAUAACGCGAACGCAUUUAUAAGUCUAAAUGAGAUAUUUUUCGACAGACAGCACUCAAAUAUAGCACAUUUUUACUUACGAUCUGCUGAAAGCCAGGCGCAGAAUGAAAUGAGAAUAAUGAUCUUUCCUUCUUUCUUCAUCUAAGGAGUUUCCUUUUACAGUCCUAGCCAUGUUGCUACUCAUCGGCAGACGUUUAUCCAGUAUCUUUUUUAUAAUCCCGUUCAAUUCAUUUUUCGUCUUAUUGCGGAGCAUUGCUGACUCAAUUUCACCCAAAACUAAAUAGUUAGCUUACUCCAAAAGAAUAGAAAAUAAUAAAGAAAAUGGAAAGCAUACCAACUAAUCGGUCUAUUGCCCAUGUUUCAAACUCUUCAAUGCUUAUUUCAGAGACAGGAGGUUUCUUAUAAAAAUUAAGUCGCGUAGGAUAACUUAAACUCUCAAAACUAGCACUAGAAAAAUUUUGAUUCUUUUCAACUACUCGACUUUUGGUCGUUCUGAACAUGGUGGUUAGCGAAGAGUCUAUUUGCGGUAACAAAUUGUCGUGCCUCUCACCAAGAAACCUUUUUACUUUGAGUGUCUUUAAACAAAUAUUUUAAGCUGCUUAACCUUUUUGGUACUAAUACAAAACACGUUGCUAAUAAUUAAUGAAUUAUUUCUUCACUCGUUGUAUUCAGAAUUAUUGAAAUGAGAAAUGCAUACUACAGAAACGUCAACUGUAAAAACUCAUCGU